CGGAGGGGCUAGCGUUAUUCGGAAUUACUGGGCGUAAAGCGGCACGUAGGCGGACCAGAAAGUUAGGGGUGAAAUCCCGGGGGCUCAACCUCGGAACUGCCUCUAAAAACUCCUGGUCUUUGAGUUUCGAGAGAGGUGAGUGGAAUUCCGAGUGUAGAGGUGAAAUUCGUAGAUAUUCGGAGGAACACCAGUGGCGAAGGCGGCUCACUGGCUCGAUACUGACGCUGAGGUGCGAAAAGCGUGGGGAGCAAACAGGAUU
rnacentral:rRNA from 1 species